rnacentral:tRNA from 1 species
GGCAUUAUGGCCGAGUGGUCUAAGGCGGUAGUUUCAAGUCACGUUGCAAUGUGCAAACACAAUGCUGAACACUACUGGGGUAACCCGCGUGAGUUCGAAUCUCACUGAUGUCA